rnacentral:lncRNA from 1 species
CUGGGGACUUUGGGAGGCGGUUUAAAGGGCAAGUGAAUGGGGGUCAGAAACACCCAGCUAGCUGUUCUGCUGUGUACAGACAAGUGUUCACUUCAGCAAAGGGGUCUCCAGAUAAGUGAAACGUGUGAAUACCCUGGCAUGAAGGGGGAAGUCACAAACCUGUGGCAAAACUCAGCAGAGAGUGCUGUCCCCAUGCAGUAUCAGUACUUUUGUGUCUAUUGGUGCGAUUGCUGGAUUGAUGUCUGUCUCCCUCUAUAGGCUGUGAGCUCCCACAGGGUGGGACCAUGUCAGUUUUGU